GUGGGGAAUAUUGGACAAUGGGGGGAACCCUGAUCCAGCCAUGCCGCGUGUGUGAAGAAGGCCUUUUGGUUGUAAAGCACUUUAAGCGAGGAGGAGGCUACCGAGAUUAAUACUCUUGGAUAGUGGACGUUACUCGCAGAAUAAGCACCGGCUAACUCUGUGCCAGCAGCCGCGGUAAUACAGAGGGUGCAAGCGUUAAUCGGAUUUACUGGGCGUAACGCGCGCGUAGGUGGCCAAUUAAGUCAAAUGUGAAAUCCCCGAGCUUAACUUGGGAAUUGCAUUGGAUACUGUUUGGCUAGAGUAUGGGAGGGGAUGGUAGAAUUCCAGGUGUAGCGGUGAAAUGCGUAGAGAUCUGGAGGAAUACCGAUGGCGAAGGCAGCCAUCUGGCCUAAUACUGACACUGAGGUGCGAAAGCAUGGGGAGCAAACAGGAUUAGAUACCCGGGUAGUCC
rnacentral:rRNA from 1 species